AUGUGGCACUAGCAUUUAAAGAUUAGGUUGGACAUGUCUCAGCAACGGAACCGCUUAUACAAGGUAGGGAUAUUAUGGCUGUACACUCUGAGUCAGGUUCGCAGGAGAAGAAAUCAGGCAAUGGAUUGAAUGAGUUACUGAUUUGUAUUGCCGAGAACAUGCAGAACAACAUAAAGAUUAUCUAGUAGAUAGAUUUAAUAUACUAUCUUGAAUACAUUUAUACAGCCAGGAGUAUUAUAUUUGGGAUGGACUACUAAGUAGCAAGAAUGGUUUUCCUCUUUUCUUUCUCUACCAGCUUAUUUGGGAUGGUGAUUUUGGUAUGGAUUCCAAUGUGUGGUUCUACUCGAGUGCUUGAAAUGCAUAUAUAUAGCACGCACUCUUAGGAAAAGGAAAAAGAGUGAAAAAGAUAGUGUGAUAUGCCUUAUUUAGUUUUUGUUGUUGUUAAGGAAACUUGCUGACAAGGUUGCAGCUGCUGACUAUUAUGUGAAUCUGAAAAAUAACUUGCAACAUUUUUAGUGACAAAUAGUUUGUGGGACUACACAAACAUUGUCAUGAAUUUCCUCUCUGGAUCCAGUGAGGUAGGUAGAUGGAAGUAAAAGUUU